UACGGGGGGAGCAAGCGUUGUUCGGAUUUACUGGGCGUAAAGGGCGCGUAGGCGGCCACCGCAAGUCGACUGUGAAAUCUCCGGGCUUAACCCGGAAAGGUCAGCCGAUACUGCGGGGCUAGAGUGCAGAAGGGGCAACUGGAAUUCUCGGUGUAGCGGUGAAAUGCGUAGAUAUCGAGAGGAACACCUGCGGCGAAGGCGGGUUGCUGGGCUGACACUGACGCUGAUGCGCGAAAGCGUGGGGAGCAAACAGG
rnacentral:rRNA from 1 species